AUAUCAUUAAGCGGAGGAAAAGAAACUAACAAGGAUGCCCUUAGUAACGGCGAGUGAAGCGGGCAAAGCUCAACUUGAAAAUCGGGGCCCUUUGGGGUUUCGAAUUGUAGUCUAGAGACGCGCCAUCAGCAAGUGACCCUGGUAUAAAUCUUUUGGAACAAGGUAUCAUAGAGGGUGAGAAUCCCGUCUUUGACCUGGAGUUCGCUGCGUACGAGUGACGUUCGUCGAGUCGAAUAGCUUGGGAAUGCUGUUCUAAAUGGGUGGUAAAUUUCAUCUAAAGCUAAAUAUUGACGAGAGACCGAUAGCGCACAAGUA
rnacentral:rRNA from 1 species